GCAUCCCAGGAGGACGGGGAGAGCGGAACUGUAAUCCCACUAAUCCCCCAGCGCUGUGGGCAAAAUCACGCAGGCAUGGGGUUAUUUCUUGUUUUCCCCUCUGCACCCCUCGAGCACGUGUGGCAAGCAAGAAGCACCUAGUGCCGAGGUUGGAGAGAGAUCAGGAUUCCCAGCAGCUCCUGCCCAGCACAGACACAUUUGAAAGACGUUUGAGAAUUACCAACUGUUACUCAGUCAAAGCAAAGGUUCUGAGCUACAACAAAUCAAGC
rnacentral:lncRNA from 1 species